rnacentral:pre_miRNA from 1 species
UCUAGAACUCGAGAUAUGGACUGAACACUCAAUAGUAUCUGGGAUGCAGGACAUAUUCAGACUUUUCUUUUGUUGCUAAGAUGUGAACUUUCAAAGCAGACGAAUUGAGUCUUUGGACUCUUCAUGAAUAUUUUAGGCCUAUGUCAUAGCUUUCUAUC